CCGGCGAAUGCCGGUGGAACUACAGGAUGCCGAGGUCGCGGGUUCGAUCCCCGCCCGCCGUGAGGCGGUAGCUCAAUGGCAGAGCGCGGUACAUGUUUCACCCCCUUUUGUCGCCUUGAG
rnacentral:Y_RNA from 1 species